AAAGGUCAGAUGAUGAGUAUUUCGGUAUGUAAAGUUCUUUUAUUGAAGAAGAAAAAGUAUGGAAAAACUAUAUUGACGUUAUUCAAUGAAUAAGCCCCGGCUAACUAUGUGCCAGCAGCCGCGGUAAGACAUAGGGGGCGAGCGUUAUCCGGAAUUAUUGGGCGUAAAGGGUGCGUAGGCUGUUACAUAAGUCUAUAAUUUAAUUUCAGUGCUUAACGCUGUCUUGUUAUAGAAACUGUCUUGACUAGAGUGAGAUAGAGGCAAGCGGAAUUCCAUGUGUAGCGGUAAAAUGUGUAAAUAUAUGGAGGAACACCAGAAGCGUAGGCGGCUUGCUGGGUCUUUACUGACGCUGAAGCACGAAAGCGUGGGUAGCAAACAGGAUUAAAUACCCUGGUAGUCCACGCCGUAAACGAUGAGUACUAAGUGUCGGGGUAAAACUCGGUACUGAAGUUAACACAUUAAGUACCCCGCCUGAGUAGUACGUACCCAAGUAUAAAACUUAAAGGAAUUGACGGGACCCCCCACAAGCGGGGGAUCAUGUUGUUUAAUUCAAAAAUACCCAAAAAAUCUUACCAGGUCUUGACAUACUCUGCAAAGCUAUAGAAAUAUAGUGGAGGUUAUCAGGGAUACAGGUGGUGCAUGGUUGUCGUCAGUUCGUGUCGUGAGAUGUUAGGUUAACUCCUAAACGACCGCACCCCUUGUCGUUUAUUUGCCAGCACAUAAUGGUGGGGACUUUUAACAAGACUGCCCAAUUAAACAUUGGGAGGGAAGGUGAGGAUACCAUCAAA
rnacentral:rRNA from 1 species